ensembl:snRNA U6 U6 spliceosomal RNA
GUGGUCACUUAGGCGGCACAUAUACUAAAGUUGGAAUUAUGCAGAGAAGAUUAGCAUGGGCCCUGCACAAGGAUCACACUUUUACAGUUGGAACAAAUUUCU